ensembl:snRNA U6 U6 spliceosomal RNA
GUGCUUGCUUAAGCAGCACAUAAAUUAAAGCUGGAACAAUACAGAGAUUAGCAUGGCCUUUGUGCAAAAGUGAUAGGCAAAUUCAUAAAUCAUUUCAUACUUUU